GGAGCUUGCUUCUAGACCGGCGGAUGGGUGACUUAUAACGUAUGCAACCUACCUUUUACAGGGGAAUAGCCCGGACAAAUUCAGAUUAAUGCUCCAUGGUUUAUAGAUGUGGCAUCACAUUUAUAAUAAAGUUUUAUCGGGAGAGGAUGGGCCCUUGCAAUCCUUAGCUAAGUGGGUUUGGAACCGCCUUACCCGGGCAAAAAUAAUUGGGGUCCCGAAUAGGCAAUUCCCCCAUGGUGGUACGGAGAAACGAACAAGAUUCGUACGGUAGGCAGCAGCGAUGAAUAUUGGUCAAUGGGGGCAACUCUGAUGCAGCCAUGCCGCGUGUAGGAUGACGGGCCUAUGGAUUGAGAACUGCUUUUGUACUGGGGGAAGAAAUGUAAUUACGUGUAACAUGCUUAUUUGACGGUACCGUAAGAAUAAGGAUCAUGUGCCAGCAGAAGCGGUAAUUA
rnacentral:rRNA from 1 species